AAUAGAUACCCGGGUAGUCCACGCCGUAAACGUUGGAUACUAGGUGUGGCGGUUAUACCAAUGACUGCCGUGCCGAAGCUAACGCAUUAAGUAUCCCGCCUGGGGAGUACGGCCGCAAGGCUAAAACUCAAAGGAAUUGACGGGUCCCCGCACAAGCGGCGGAGCAUGCGGCUUAAUUCGAUGUAACCCGAAGAACCUUACCUGGGUUUGACAUCACGGGAAAAGCUGUAGAAAUACAGUGUCCAUUAGGGCCCGUGACAGGUGGUGCAUGGCUGUCGUCAGCUCGUGUCGUGAGAUGUUGGGUUAAGUCCCGCAACGAGCGCAACCCUUGUCCUAUGUUGCCAGCGGUUCGGCCGGGGACUCAUAGGAGACUGCCGGGGAUAACUCGGAGGAAGGUGAGGACGACGUCAAGUCAUCAUGCCCCUUAUAUCCAGGGCUGCACGCAUGCUACAAUGGCCGGUACAACGGGCAGCGACCCCGCGAGGGUGAGCGAAUCCUAAAAAGCCGGUCCUAGUUCGGAUUGAAGUCUGCAACUCGACUUC
rnacentral:rRNA from 1 species